UAGGGAAUCUUCCGCAAUGGGCGAAAGCUUGACGGAGCAACGCCGCGUGAGUGAUGAAGGUCUUCGGAUCGUAAAACUCUGUUAUUAGGGAAGAACAAAUGUGUAAGUAACUAUGCACGUCUUGACGGUACCUAAUCAGAAAGCCACGGCUAACUACGUGCCAGCAGCCGCGGUAAUACGUAGGUGGCAAGCGUUAUCCGGAAUUAUUGGGCGUAAAGCGCGCGUAGGCGGGUUUUUAAGUCUGAUGUGAAAGCCCACGGCUCAACCGUGGAGGGUCAUUGGAAACUGGAAAACUUGAGUGCAGAAGAGGAAAGUGGAAUUCCAUGUGUAGCGGUGAAAUGCGCAGAGAUAUGGAGGAACACCAGUGGCGAAGGCGACUUUCUGGUCUGUAACUGACGCUGAUGUGCGAAAGCGUGGGGAUCAAACAGG
rnacentral:rRNA from 1 species